rnacentral:rRNA from 1 species
UACGUAGGGUGCAAGCGUUGUCCGGAAUUAUUGGGCGUAAAGAGCUCGUAGGCGGUUUGUUACGUCGGCUGUGAAAACCUGGGGCUCAACCCCGGGCCGGCAGCCGAUACGGGCAGACUAGAAUUCGGUAGGGGAGACUGGAAUUCCUGGUGUAGCGGUGAAAUGCGCAGAUAUCAGGAGGAACACCGGUGGUGUAGACGGCUCUCUGGACCGUAACUGACGCUGAGACACGAAAGCGUGGGUAGCAAACAGG